AGGUGCGAUCAUACCAGCACUAAUGCACCGGAUCCCACCAGUACUCCGUAGGUAAGCGUGCUUGGGUGAGAGUAGUACUAGGAUGGGUGACUUCCUGGGAAGUCCUCGUGUUGCACUUC
rnacentral:rRNA from 1 species